CGGUCGACGCACAACGCGGCCGCUUAGUUCGCUUCGAUCGGCCGAAGCGUGUGGAUGUAGUUAGUGUGUAGUUAAUUCUUUUCCUAUCCUCGCUUCCUCUAAUUCCUCUUGUCUCGUUUCUCUUCGUUUCUAUUUGUCUCCCGUUUCGUCUCUGUUCGUCUAAUCUUGUCUCGUCUCGUUUCGUUUCGUAUUCUUCAUUUUCUCGCAUCUUUAUUCGUAGUAUAAUUGAUGAAAAAUACGAAUGGAGAAAAAUGUAAAAUAUAUUUUUUAUUCGUGGAAAAGUGUUCGCUUUUUUAACGACUGAAGAAGAUGUGCUAGCUAUCUUCUCUUCGAAUUUUUAGCUGAUUCGCUGGUAAGACGAGGCAAGGUCUCUGCCUACUCUCCUCUCUCUCUUUUGCUCCACGCCAUCUUUCUACCUCCUCCUCUUAGAUAUUUUGUGCUGCUACACGCUUCCGGCUGACAGUGCGCUUUUUAGGCCUGCGCGCGCGACUCGCGCAAUGGUCGUCACAAUCCCCCUCCCCCUUUCCUCCGCUCCUUCCUCCCUCCCUCCCUCUUUCUCAGCGUGACUCUCGAGUCUCGAUGAACCGCAAAUCUCCCCGACAAGCGAAGAGGGUGGAGUCCGUACUCCGUGGCAGACAUUUCCUACGAGAUUGCGAGGCGUUUAUGAUACGACGGCGACGACGACGACAACGAUGUUGAUGAUGAUAAUGAUGAUGAUGAUGAUGAUGAUGAUGAUGAUGAUGAUGAUCACGAUGAUGAUCACGAUGUAACGAUGACUACGAUGACGACAAGCAAAACGCGUAUCCGGAUGUGUCAGACUCCAUGCACCAAAAGAGGCGCCAUGUCGUCGUUUUCCUUCUCGAGCAACCGAUCGAUCUUCAGUGGUGUAAUGUGCACACAACUAAGCUGUAAUUUUGACAAGGUCCACAUUCCAAACCAAGUCAGGUGUCCUGCAUAAAGUAGUAGAAGAGAAUGCAAGAAAAUAUGGUUGAUGGAAAAAAAUCAGCUUACAAAAAGUAAAGAUCAUUCUUCACGCGGUGGCAAUAUGGCUGUCGAUGGAUGGAGUAUCUGUUCACAUCUUACCGGGCAGCAUUAGAUUGAAGUUGAAGGUUCUAAUACUGUCAGGUAAAGAUGUCGUCAGGAUUCCGAAGACGACGAUUGAAACGUAGCGGAUUAAUUUAUCAACAAAUAAAAGCAAUGUUAUGAUUACUUGAUACAGGUCACACCAAUUUUUAUUGUUUUCUUUUCAUUAAAUUUGAGAAAUGUUAAUAUUAUGUUUCUAUAUAUAAAUAAAUUAAUAUAAACUUUUUACUAAUAUGAAUAAAGUGUGCGUGUAUUUAUGUGUAUAUUUAGUUUAUAUCAAAUAAAAGUUUUAAGAUAUGUGCA